ensembl:lncRNA
CAGGAUAAAGCUGCAGAAAUGGGACACCGCUUCCCAGGGAGGGCAGCCUCAGUAGGAGACCUCAGGACCUCCAGACAGAAGCUGUUGCUUUAGAAACCAACACGUCUCCUUCCAGUCAUUCUUCAGUUAGCCAGACCGUCGCGUCCAACCUGACGUCCUCCAGCUCGCAGAGGACAGCCCCCUCCUCAUGGACUGUCAGCUCCGACCAAUCAGCUGCAACACCGCCACCAUCUAGUCAAACAGGAUCCAGAACCGUGUCAACCAGAACUGUGUCAACCAGCCAAUCACCAGGCAGCACAACACAGAACAGCCAAUCACCAGGCGGCACUACACAAACAAGCCAAACACCAACCAGCCAAUCACCAGGCAGCACUACACAAACCAGCCAAUCACCAGGCAGCACUACACAAA